rnacentral:ncRNA from 1 species
CCUUGAAGCCUAAUCCUAGCCCGGCCACUCGUAAUAAAAACAACCAAAAACUUACUACACUCUCAAAAUCAAAACAUUUUUCCCAGGCCUAGUAUAGGUGAUAGAAAAGUAUCACUUCCGGCGCGAUAGAAAUCUGUACCGUAAGGGAAAGAUGAAAUAAUAAUGAAAAACAAAGCAAGAAGCAGCAAAGAUUAACACUUGUACCUCUUGCAUCAUGAUUUAGUAAGAACAACCGAGCAAAAUGAAUUUAAGUUCGCCGCCCCGAAACCUAAGCGAGCUACCUGUGAGCAGCUAUCUUUUUGAGCGAACCCGUCUCUGUUGCAAAAGAGUGGGAUGACUCACUGGUAGAGGUGAAAAGCCAAUCGAGCUAGGUGAUAGCUGGUUGUCUGCGAAACGAAUCUAAGUUCCACCUUAAUUCUCUCCACAUGGGUAUCUAUCUCAACCUUCAAUGCAGUGAAUUAAGAGUCAUCUAAAGGGGGUACAGCCCCUUUAAAAAAGAAUAC